rnacentral:rRNA from 1 species
GACGAACGCUGGCGGCGUGCCUAAUACAUGCAAGUAGAACGCUGAAGGAGGAUCUUGCUCUUCUGGAUGAUUUGCAAACGGGCGAGUAACCCGUACGUAACCUGCCUGUGACCGGGGGAUAACUAUUGCACACUAUAGCUCAUACCGCAUACUAAUAUUCGUUGCCUGACGACUGAUUGAAAGGUGCAAUUGCUUCACUACCAGAAGGACCUGCGUUGUAUUAACUAGGUGGGGGAGUAACCGCUCCCCCAGGCGACCAUACGUAACCGACCUGAAAAGGUGAUCCCCCACACUGGGACUGAGACACGGACCAGACUCCUACGGGAGGCAGCAGUAGGGAAUCUUCGGCAAUGGACGGAAGUCUGACCCAGCCACGCCGCGUGAGUGAAGAAUGUUUUCGGAUCGUGAAGCUCUGUUUUAACAGAAGAACAGUGUGAUAGUGGAAAGUUCACACUGGGACCGUAUCAUACCACAUCGGGACGGUUCACUACGUGCCACCCGCCGCGACAAUACAUACGACCCGAGCGCUGACCUGAUGUAUUGAGCGUAAGCCUAGCGCGUGCGGUUAGAUAACUCUGAAAUCUGAGGCUGUGGCUUAUCCCUAGUACGCUAUGCAGACUGUUUAACUUGACUGACACAGGGGAGAGUGGAAUUCCAUGUGUAGCGGUGAAAUGCGUAGAUAUACGGAGGAACAUCGGUGGCGAAAGCCGCUCUCUGGUUUGUAACUGACCCUGAGGCUAGAAAGCGUGGGGAGUCAACCGGAUUAGAUUCCCUGGUAGUUCCCGCCGUAAACGAUGAGUGCUAGGUGUUAGACCCUUUCCGGGCAUGAGUGCAGUAGGUAACGCAUUAAGCAUUCCGCCUGGGGAGUACGACCGCAAGGUUGAAAUUCAAAGGAAUUGACGGGGGCCCGCCCAAGCGGUGGAGCAUGUGGUUUAAUUGGAAGCAACGGGAAGACCCUUACCAGGUCUGGACAUCCGUCUGACCAUGUCUAGAGAUAGUGCUUCCCUUCGGGACAGAGGUGACAGGUGGCGCAUGGUUGUCGUCAGCUCGUGCCGUCGAGAGAUGGUGGGAUAAGUCCCGCAGCGAGCGCAACCCAUAUUUUUAGUUGCCCUCAUUCAGUUGGGCACUCUAGCGAGACUGCCGUUAAUAAACCGGAGGAAGGUGGGGAUGACGUCAAAUCAUCAUGCCCCUUACAUCCGGGGCGACACACGUGUUACAAUGGGAGGGACAAAGGGCAGCUACCGGGCGACGGCAAGCUAAUCUCCUAAACCCUUCCCCAGUUCGGAUCGGAGUCUGCAACUCGACUCCGUGAAGCUGGAUUCGCUAGUAAUCGCGCAUCACCCAUGGCGCGGUGAAUACGUUCCCGGGCCU